CCCGCGAGCAUCCGGGUCUCCCGCAGUGGCGUCAUUUCUCAGCCGGUGACACCGCUUCCCGGCCGGCUCCGCCCGCUUCCUGCUCUCAGUGGUGGGAGUACCAUGCCCUAGCAACAGCAUGCAGAGACCAUUCCUGGGCGUGAUGGGGCUCCAGAAGUAACAGGAGAGAAGCGCUCGCGGCUUACACAAAGUGGUCUGCCACAUUCCAGGUCCUCUCAGCUACGUGAAGCCACGAAGGUGGUUCUGCCCUAUUCCUCCUCACCCCUAUACACGCUUCAGUACUGAAGACCACCUCAUCACUGUGCCCCUGUCCUGCUUGAGUACUUACAGAAAGUUGGGCAAAAAACAGCAUAUGCUCUUGUAAUGAGGAGCAUCUUUUGUCUUGGGAAAAGAAGUGAGAUAUCGAAGUCAUUCCACAUUCUGCAGUGUUUGUUUCAGAGAAGAGAGAAUGAAAGUGGUCUGUGUAAAGAGAAAGGAGCAUUUAACUUUGAUUAAUGAAUAUUAGUAUCGUGCCUCAUAUAGCUAGUUACUGUUAUUAGUUACUGUAAGACAGGUAAAGAGGGAAUUUUUUUCAUUUUUAUUUUUUUAGCCCAACAAAGGAGAACUCGAAAGAAAAAAAUAUUAGCCUAGACAGUAUAGUAGCCUUCUGACUAUGUAGAUUUUUCUGCCAUCACUUUCACAAUCAAGUGUUUAUCGUUCUUAUGAAACUUUUUUAAAGGUACUUCAGUUACUCAUUUCUAGGAACUGAAGUCUCAUGUCCAGAAAAAGCUCCCGUUGGUACAAGCUGUAGCUGCCCAUCUGCCUAGCAACACAGAUCAUCACAAACAAACAGCUCUGGAGCACCCUGGCUCCCCAUGAGCACCGUGUCUAAAUACGGUCUCUGUAUUGACAGUUCAACACUCUUAGUACAGUUCUUUUGGCCAGCAUUGGAUGUCUCCUUCAUCACCAUGACCUCUGAUGUGAGGUAUGAAGGUAUGUUCUGGUGGACUACUGAGGCUGCUGGUUAACAGAAAGAAUUUGGCAGAUGUGGAUAUCGGUGUUCCUAAAUGCCUGGACCAAACUGAUACUAGUUAGAGAUGCCUUAGCCAUAUACCACAAUUCAAUUCAGCUUGCCAAAAUCUGACACUGCUCUUUACUGUUACUUUCUUGUGAUCGUCCUGUCCUCUUUUAACCACUUUUAUCCCAA